AACGAACGCUGGCGGCAUGCCUAACACAUGCAAGUCGAACGAGACCUUCGGGUCUAGUGGCGCACGGGUGCGUAACGCGUGGGAACCUGCCCUUAGGUUCGGAAUAACUCCCCGAAAGGGGUGCUAAUACCGGAUAAUGUCUUCGGACCAAAGAUUUAUCGCCUUUGGAUGGGCCCGCGUUGGAUUAGCUAGUUGGUAGGGUAAAAGCCUACCAAGGCGACGAUCCAUAGCUGGUCUGAGAGGAUGAUCAGCCACACUGGGACUGAGACACGGCCCAGACUCCUACGGGAGGCAGCAGUGGGGAAUAUUGGACGAGGGGCGAAAGCCUGAUCCAGCAAUGCCGCGUGAGUGAUGAAGGCCUUAGGGUUGUAAAGCUCUUUUACCCGGGAUGAUAAUGACAGUACCGGGAGAAUAAGCACCGGCUAACUACGUG
rnacentral:rRNA from 1 species